rnacentral:pre_miRNA from 1 species
UUUUCUGAUUGUCCAUUCGCAUUUCUUGUGUCGCUUCCCCCAUCUGGGGAGGCUGCUUGUGCAAGAGAUGUGCUUGGACAUCAAAAAAC